UACAGAGGGGGCAAGCGUUGUUCGGAAUUAUUGGGCGUAAAGAGCUCGUAGGCGGUUUGUCGCGUCUGCUGUGAAAACCCGAGGCUCAACCUCGGGCCUGCAGUGGGUACGGGCAGACUAGAGUGCGGUAGGGGAGAUUGGAAUUCCUGGUGUAGCGGUGGAAUGCGCAGAUAUCAGGAGGAACACCGAUGGCGAAGGCAGAUCUCUGGGCCGUUACUGACGCUGAGGAGCGAAAGCAUGGGGAGCGAACAGG
rnacentral:rRNA from 1 species